GAGUUUGAUCUUGGCUCAGGACGAACGCUGGCGGCGUGCCUAAUACAUGCAAGUCGAGCGGACAGAUGGGAGCUUGCUCCCUGAAGUCAGCGGCGACGGGUGAGUAACACGUGGGCAACCUGCCUGUAAGACUGGGAUAACUCCGGAAACCGGGGCGUAAUACCGGAUAAUUCUUUCCCUCACAUGAGGGAAAGCUGAAAGAUGGUUUCGGCGUAUCACUUACAGAUGGGCCCGCGGCGCAUUAGCUAGUUGGUGAGGUAACGGCUCACCAAGGCAACGAUGCGUAGCCGACCUGAGAGGGUGAUCGGCCACACUGGGACUGAGAC
rnacentral:rRNA from 1 species